UACGUAGGUGACCAGCGUUGUCCGGAUUUACUGGGCGUAAAGCGCGCGCAGGCGGUCGUUCAAGUCGAGUGUGAAAGCCCCCGGCUCAACUGGGGAGGGUCACUUGAUACUGAUCGACUCGAAGGCAGGAGAGGGAAGCGGAAUUCCCGGUGUAGUGGUGAAAUGCGUAGAUAUCGGGAGGAACACCAGUGGCGAAGGCGGGUCUCUGGGCCGAUACUGACGCUGAGGAGCGAAAGCGUGGGGAGCGAACAGG
rnacentral:rRNA from 1 species